rnacentral:rRNA from 1 species
GACGUAGGGCGCGAGCGUUGUCCGGAUUUAUUGGGCGUAAAGAGCUCGUAGGCGGCUUGUCGCGUCGAAUGUGAAAACCUGCAGCUCAACUGCAGGCUUGCAUUCGAUACGGGCAGGCUAGAGUUCGGUAGGGGAGUCUGGAAUUCCUGGUGUAGCGGUGAAAUGCGCAGAUAUCAGGAGGAACACCGGUGGCGAAGGCGGGACUCUGGGCCGAUACUGACGCUGAGGAGCGAAAGCGUGGGGAGCGAACAGG